UUUUUGUUUCCCGUAAAACCCUAAACUCGUCUUUUUGUUACCAAAGCGGCGAUAUCUCUCUAUUCUUUGGUUUUCACUGCCAUUUUCUUGCCCGUUUCCUCAAUCAAAGUGAAGAUUUAUUUCCUCCACCAUUGAUGUAUGCCGUUAUUCCGCUAUGUCGGUCACUGGUUAUCACAAAUGCAAAGCUUUUCUUCUUGAUGAACAAAACCUCAAAUGGAUGAAAGAGUAACACCUAUGAAUCUGCACGAAAAGCACCCAUAUCUUGUUCAAAUCAAGUCCUGUAAAAUUGCUUCUAUUAAGCAUUUUAUUGGCAUGUUAAAAGCCCCUUCUUGUUGGUGUUUAAUUUUUGAAGUAUAUACACUUAUCAUUUCUGAAUUUAAACUUUAUUCUGGGUUUGAGGAUUUUCAAGAGAUGCAAGAUUUGAAGACUUUGCAAGUUAACAAAUUGACUAUUAUUUAGCUAGGGACUAUUGGAAAAUACAAUAUAUUUUUAAUAGAUGCUAUGUUCUUUUCUUAGAAAAAGUAUAAACAACGUUGUGAUACUGGUGUUUUGUCUAUAUAAUAUAUGAAAGCA